rfam:Pristionchus pacificus strain PS312 contig364, whole genome shotgun sequence.
UCUUCAUUUUACCCACUCUCUCACCGGUCAGACAGGCGAGAGAGUGUGUGAAAUGAAGAGA